rnacentral:pre_miRNA from 14 species
GAAGUGGUGGGGAGGUUUCUUGAGGUGGGGGUGGUAGAGGAGGCUGUGAGCCACUAGAUGAGGGAGGAAGCGAAGGAGGCGGGGGCGGUGGAGGUGGCGGAGGUGAUGAUGAUGAUGAUGGUAGCGGUGGCGGUGGUGGAGGCGGUGGUGGAGAAAAUUCCAUUGUUUCCUC